AUUGAACGCUGGCGGCAGGCCUAACACAUGCAAGUCGAACGGUAACAGGAAGCAGCUUGCUGCUUCGCUGACGAGUGGCGGACGGGUGAGUAAUGUCUGGGAAACUGCCUGAUGGAGGGGGAUAACUACUGGAAACGGUAGCUAAUACCGCAUACCGUCGCAAGACCAAAGAGGGGGACCUUAGGGCCUCUUGCCUUCGGUUGUGCCCAGAUGGGAUUAGCUAGUAGGUGGGGUAACGGCUCACCUAGGCGACGAUCCCUAGCUGGUCUGAGAGGAUGACCAGCCACACUGGAAAUGAGACACGGUCCAGACUCCUACGGGAGGCAGCAGUGGGGAAUAUUGCACAAUGGGCGCAAGCCUGAUGCAGCCAUGCCGCGUGUAUGAAGAAGGCCUUCGGGUUGUAAAGUACUUUCAGCGGGGAGGAAGGGAGUAAAGUUAAUACCUUUGCUCAUUGACGUUACCCGCAGAAGAAGCACCGGCUAACUCCGUG
rnacentral:rRNA from 1 species